GGAGAAGUACUCAAGUGGCUGAAGAGGACGGUUUGCUAAACCGUUAGUGUUCAAUUAUGGGCAGCGCGAGUUCGAAUCUCGCCUUCUCCG
rfam:Eubacterium sp. 68-3-10 unitig_0:quiver, whole genome shotgun sequence.